rnacentral:lncRNA from 1 species
ACCAGCUCGCGCUGCAGCCUCCCCCACGCUGUUGCUAGGAGAUCACAGGGCUAUACUUCCAUCAUCUCCAUACUUGCUGGGAGAUUGAGUAAUUGGUGUCUGGAUGUGCGUGUGCUGCUUCCCAAAAUACCUCUUUAAAAAGACGUGAGAGGGAUGCGGAGCCAGUAGGGAUGGCAAAGCUCGCUAUCACGUGGAUCACCCAGACUCCCUCAUUUUACUGGUUCUUCACAGCACCCAGGAAGAUUUUAGAUGGACCUCAAAUACAAAGGCUGUGAGGAGCCCUAUUCGUUGUGUUGACACCACUGAGAGAUUAUUUUUUUCCCAGAGAAGAAAAAGGAGACACACCUGACUUUUAACCUCUUUGAUCCCUUAAAAAGUUAUUUUCCCAGCUGGGUGCAGUAGCUCCUGCCUGUAAUCCCAGCACUUUGGGAGGCCGAGGGUAAAGCAUUGGCUUCCGUAUCUUUCAAAUUGUCCCGAGUGAUUCUGAUCCACAGUGAAAACUGAAAACUGUUCUAAUAUUCACCUUGCCGGAAAAGUAAGACUAUGUGAAGUGAACCCUCCUUCAAAUUGGAGAAGGAAGCUUUGAGAUUUCCAGGGAAGAUGGAAGACAGAACAGAAAUGACUGAUUUUGAAGAUUGAGAAUUAGGAAUAUUGUACAGAUGCUGUCAUUCCUACAUGAAGGAGGCAGAAGAAUGUAGCAAGCUCAGCUCUCUAAUGCCAGGAGUGGCACUUUCAGUGACCAGAGCUCCCUGGGUCCUCUGUGUAUCCCUCCCCUGUCAACUGAUUCAACAGAGGCUGGGCUGGUCCUGGCAUUAGCACAUUUUUGAAUCUGCCUUUGGCUGUGACUUCACCCAAAGACAGAAAGGGGAAGUUUCUGGUCUACAUAGCCAACAUGUGGUCUUGAUAAUAAAUCAUUGCUUGUUUGGAAGAAUUUGGUCUGAGCCUUACUUUUAUUGUAAAACACUACCUGUAGAUGGCAGAUGGGGCAUGGGACCUUUAGGCCUUAUCCAGCUCUAAACAUGGGAGGCUACCAAAGACUCUGACGUUUGGCAAAUGGCCAAAUUUGCAGAGAUCUUAUUGCAAGAGAGGCGUUCCUAAAUCUGAGUUCUAACAUCACCCCUUUUCUAGCUCCAGAGCCCCAUUGCUAGGCAGCUCCCUUCACCUGGAGACUCAUCCUCCCCUAGACUAAUGAGUGAAAGUGGGUGGGAUUAGUAUUAAGUUGUGCAAAAAGCAAUUGUGGUUUUUGCCAAAGUUGUGUCAAAGACUGGAAUUGCUUUUGCACCAACCUAAGCACUGGGCCAUAGGAAGGCACCAAAAAUACCUAGCUGGUGGCUCUGGCGUGACUUUUUGCUUAAGCUUAGUGGCUAAAUUCUCAUCCUGUCCCUAAUGACGAAAGUCCUUCCUCACAUCCCAGGUUCAAUUUGCUAGAGACUGUCUAGUCUCCUUGAACUUUGAAUCUUGGCUUUAGCUCCUGCUGAUAACCUCAUUCCUACAGGACUGGGCCACGGAACUGCUUUAUACCAGUCUCUCGGUGGCCUGGAGCCCAGACCCUGAACCUAAGUCAUAUGGCCAGCCCAGACCCUAACUUCAAGGCUUCCUUAUGCCAGUCAGGUACCUGCCUUUCUGCCUAUUGCCUGGAGCUGAGCCCCCUGCGUUCUUCAAUUUCAUAGAGUUGACUAAGGAUUAAAUGAGUUAAUGUAUGAAACUCCUUGGCAAAUACUAAGCAUUAUCUUUACUGGUUAAUUUCUUUUGACAGUUUUUGACAGCUUCCUUAACUCUUAGUGACUCAGUUUUCUCAUCUGUAAACUGGGAAUAAUAAUAGUACCUGCCUCCUGGGAUAGGUGUAAGGGUUGGAUGAGUUAAGAAUCUGUAGUGAGAUGAGUAAUGUCCCCUCCAAAAAAAGAUAUACCCACCUCCUAAUCUCCAGAACCUGUGAAUAUUAACUUAUAUGGCAAAAGUUGUGAUGAAGUUAAAGAUCUUGAGAGAAGGCACUUAUCUGGAUUUUCUGGGUGAGCCCUAAAGGCAAUCCCAUGUAUCCUUAUAAAACAGAUACCCAUCACACCUGUAAUCCCAGCA